CCACGGGCUGUUUAUUGAUACACACUAAACACAAUUUUCUCCUAAUCCUAGACCCAGCAUUUUCUGCAUUACACUAGCCCAGUGGUCCUUUCUGAAACUACACUGUUCAAGUUACAGACAUAUUUAAAUGUUUAAAUUUAAAAUGUUAAAUUUAACAUUUUAACAUGUUUAAAGCCAAAGCAGCAGCUCAGUAUGUACCCCGACAGUGCCUAGAAGAGACUUAUGUGGGAGACAAAGUUUCUGGUCAGGUGUAUUUGUAUACUUCAUCAGGCAUAUGCCUUGCAUUACAUAGCUCUCGCCCCCAACUUGGCAACAUCUUAUUGGUUUUCAGAAUAUACUGAUGACGGAUUGCCAAAAGAGCUCAUGAAUGAAUAUUUUCCAUUCUAAGGAAACUUUUUUUCUUUUUGAGACGGAGUUUCACUAUUGUUGCCCAGGCUGGAGUGCGAUGGGGCGGUCUUGGCUCACUGCAACCCCCAUCUCCCAGGUUCAAGCGAUUCUCCUGCCUCAGCCUCUCAAAUAGCUGCAAUUACAGGUGCCGCCACCACGCCCAGCUAGUUUUUAUAUUUUUGGUAGAGAUGGGGUUUCACCAUGUUGGCCAGGCUGGUCUCAAGCUCCUGACCUCAGGUGAUCUGCCUGCCUUGGCCUCCCAAAGUGCUGGGAUUGCAGGCAUGACCUACUGCACCCAGACCACUUUUUUUUUUUUUAAAAGAGAUGGAGUUUCCUUUAUCUGUUGCCCAGUUAUCUAGUUUACUCUUACCCAAGUAUAAAUGAUAUGAAACAAUCUGAGACUAGUCAGUCAACUGUCCUUGGUAAGAUCUCCUUCUUGACAGCCAUGUGGAUUCUAUCACACCCUUUAUAAUUUACAGCAAUCUUCAGUGGUUAAAGCAAAACUGUACAUCUAUAAAGGAAUUCAAGAGAAGUGCAGGAAAAGGAUGACAAAAGGUAAAUCCCUAGCUACCACCAGAAUGUUAUCUAUCUAAAACUGCCAACUUACGAAUAGGUAAAACUUAUGGUAAAAUUAUAAAGGUGAGCACAACAGGAACUGGAAUCUAUUCUGAAGGGCAAUAUAAUGUACUUCCAAGAAUUCUAGAUUUUUUUUUUUUUUUGGAGACAGUUUCACUCGUCACCCAGGCUUG
rnacentral:lncRNA from 10 species